AGUGAAAUUGCUGGAUUAUAUGGUAAGUUUGUAUUUAACUUUUCAAGAAAUUGUCAAACUGUUUUCCAAAGUGGCUGCACAAUUUUUCAUUCCCGCCAGCAAU
rnacentral:pre_miRNA from 1 species